AAAUUAUUUUAUUACUACUGUUACAAUUACCGCCACUGUUAUUUAAAAACAUCUGUGUAUUUUUUCGUGUAAGAAGUAAUUAGUGGAGGCGUUUACAUCCGGUUAACAAUGCGCUCUUUCUCUUCCGGCACGUACUCAUUUCCGCGAAUUGGUUCUUUCAAACAUUUCCUUUUUAAAGAUCCGAUUCACAUAAACGACUCAGUGAUUCAUUUUUAUGUAUUUCUUUUUCAGUUUAGCAUGUUUCAUUGAUUCGUUUUAUAAAUAUAUAGGCAUAUUGUAGUCAAUAUAAUAAGCAUUUUAGGAAUCGUGAAAAUGGCUAGAUUGUAUUCAGUCCAACUCGAUCGAAUCAGUGUUCUGAUUCUGCCCAACUCGAUCGAAUCAGUGUUCUGAUUCUGAAUGAUUCAUUCACGAAGCUCUAUUUAACUGAAUGCUGCUGUUGCGUGUGUUUGGUGAAAUCCACGUGUGUUUUCUUGCAGUGCAUAAACGGUUUGCAAGCGGUUUGUCCGGAUUCAGUUGGAAAUCAAGCUCAAUAAUGUGUCACUUUGUUUAUUUUUAACGGACCCCAUAUAUUUGCCUUUUCUUAACCCCAUGUUUUCCCCUAAUAAAAUCUUGAUGUAAAAGGCG